CGCCCGUCGCUCCUACCGAUUGGGUGAGCUGGUGAAGUGUUCGGAUUGGCGACCGGGGGCGGUUUCCGCCCUCGGCCGCCGAGAAGUUCAUUAAACCCACCCACCUAGAGGAAGGAGAAGUCGUAACAAGGUUUCC
rnacentral:rRNA from 1 species